GACGAACGCUGGCGGCGUGCCUAAUACAUGCAAGUUGAGCGCGAGAAGCAAGCAGAUCCCUUCGGGGUGACGCUUGUGGAGCGAGCGGCGGACGGGUGGGUAACACGUGGGCAACCUGCCUGCAGGAUCGGGAUAACUCCGGGAAACCGGUGCUAAUACCGGAUAAUACUUUCUUCUUCAUGGAAGAGAGAUGAAAGACGGUUUCGGCUGUCACCUGCAGAUGGGCCCGCGGUGCAUUAGCUAGUUGGUGAGGUAACGGCUCACCAAGGCAACGAUGCAUAGCCGACCUGAGAGGGUGAUCGGCCACACUGGGACUGAGACACGGCCCAGACUCCUACGGGAGGCAGCAGUAGGGAAUCUUCCGCAAUGGACGAAAGUCUGACGGAGCAACGCCGCGUGAGUGAUGAAGGUUUUCGGAUCGUAAAACUCUGUUGUAAGGGAAGAACAAGUACGAUAGUAACUGCUCGUACCUUGACGGUACCUUACCAGAAAGCCACGGCUAACUACGUCCCAGCCGCCGCGGUAACAC
rnacentral:rRNA from 1 species